rnacentral:rRNA from 1 species
UACGUAGGGUGCAAGCGUUAAUCGGAAUUACUGGGCGUAAAGCGUGCGCAGGCGGUUUUGUAAGUCUGUCGUGAAAUCCUCGGGCUCAACCUGAGAAUUGCGAUGGAGACUGCAAGGCUAGAAUCUGGCAGAGGGGGGUAGAAUUCCACGUGUAGCAGUGAAAUGCGUAGAGAUGUGGAGGAACACCGAUGGCGAAGGCAGCCCCCCUGGGUCAAGAUUGACGCUCAUGCACGAAAGCGUGGGGAGCAAACAGG